AUUGAACGCUAGCGGGAUGCUUUACACAUGCAAGUCGAACGAGUGGCGGACGGGUGAGUUAUAUAUCGGAACGUGCCCAGUCGCGGGGGAUAACUACUCGAAAGAGUGGCUAAUUCCGCCUACUAUUGGAGCGGCCGAUAUCGGAUUUGCUUGUUGGUGGGGUAAAGGAUCACCAAGGUAACGAUCCGUAGCUGUUGUGAGAGGAUGACCAGCAACAGUGGGACGAAGACGCGGCGCAGACUCCGACGGGAGGCAGCAGUGGGGAAUUUUGGAGAAUGGGGGAAACCCUGAUCCAGCCAUCCCGCGUGUAUGAGAAGGCCUUCGGGGUGUAAAGUACUUUUGGCAGAGAAGCGGUAUCUGCAGAAUAAGCACCGGCUAACUACGUGCCAGCAGCCGCGGUAAUAC
rnacentral:rRNA from 1 species